UCCGAUUAAAUGCCCUCUCUAACACGCGCAUCAAAUCAGUGCACACGCCACGCACAGCCGGGUGAGCGAGGUCAGAGAAGAGCGUCCUCAGGCUGAGUAAGGCGUGGGUAGCUGACGCACCGUGAUGUGGAUGGAUCCCUGCGGAGGCGCUGACGCAGCCCAGGGCACAAGCAGUCCCUCCAACCUCCCUCCACGCAGGACUCUGCCCGCUGAAGACUCAAGUUUCAAGCUCAACCUUAACAAAACAGCUGAGUCUAUGGGGUCGUACAUUCAAACCACCAUGAAGAGUUAGAUCUAUUUGAGGAUGCUUUCUCUGCCACCAUUUCUUUGCUGGGUACUGCUCCAGCUAGAUAUAUGGAUGGCUCUGGCAUCAGAAUACAGAUAGAUGCAGAUCCUAAGGAGAGAGCCACCCCAUCAUACCUCAAAAAGGCCCCAAC